AGUGAACGCUGGCGGUAGGCCUAACACAUGCAAGUCGAACGGCAGCACAGUAAGAGCUUGCUCUUACGGGUGGCGAGUGGCGGACGGGUGAGGAGUACAUCGGAAUCUACUUUUUCGUGGGGGAUAACGUAGGGAAACUUAUGCUAAUACCGCAUACGACCUACGGGUGAAAGCAGGGGAUCUUCGGACCUUGCGCGAUUGAAUGAGCCGAUGUCGGAUUAGCUAGUUGGCGGGGUAAAGGCCCACCAAGGCGACGAUCCGUAGCUGGUCUGAGAGGAUGAUCAGCCACACUGGAACUGAGACACGGUCCAGACUCCUACGGGAGGCAGCAGUGGGGAAUAUUGGACAAUGGGCGCAAGCCUGAUCCAGCCAUACCGCGUGGGUGAAGAAGGCCUUCGGGUUGUAAAGCCCUUUUGUUGGGAAAGAAAAGCAGCAGGUUAAUACCCCGCUGUUCUGACGGUACCCAAAGAAUAAGCACCGGCUAACUUCGUG
rnacentral:rRNA from 1 species